UACGUAGGGUGCGAGCGUUGUCCGGAAUUAUUGGGCGUAAAGAGUUUGUAGGCGGUUUGUCGCGUCUUCCGUGAAAAUCCGGGGCUCAACCCCGGACUUGCGGUGGGUACGGGCAGACUAGAGUGUGGUAGGGGAGACUGGAAUUCCUGGUGUAGCGGUGAAAUGCGCAGAUAUCAGGAGGAACACCGAUGGCGAAGGCAGGUCGCUGGGCCACUACUGACGCUGAGAAGCGAAAGCGUGGGGAGCGAACAGG
rnacentral:rRNA from 1 species